CCAGACUCCUACGGGAGGCAGCAGUGGGGAAUAUUGCACAAUGGGGGAAACCCUGAUGCAGCGACGCCGCGUGAGUGAAGAAGUAAUUCGUUACGUAAAGCUCUAUCAGCAGGGAAGAAACACUGACCUUACGGUCAGCAGACGGUACCCAACCAAGAAGCCCCGGCUAACUACGUGCCAGCAGCCGCGGUAAUACGUAGGGGGCGAGCGUUAUCCGGAAUUACUGGGUGUAAAGGGAGCGUAGACGGCGAGGUAAGCCUGAAGUGGAAGCCCGCGGCCCAACCGCGGAACUGCUUUGGGAACUGUUUUGCUGGAGUAUGGGAGGGGUAAGCGGAAUUCCUGGUGUAGCGGUGAAAUGCGUAGAUAUCAGGAGGAACACCGGUGGCGAAGGCGGCUUACUGGACCAUAACUGACGUUGAGGCUCGAAAGCGUGGGGAGCGAACAGGAUUAGAUACCCCUGUACA
rnacentral:rRNA from 1 species